rnacentral:rRNA from 1 species
AGAAACUUACAAGGAUUCCCCUAGUAACAGUGAGUGAACAGAGAACAGCCCAACUUGAAAAUUGGGCGGCUUCGCCAUCUGAAUUGUAGUCUGUAGAAGCGUCUUCAGCAGUGGGCCGAGCCCAAGUCCCCUAGAAGUGGGUGCCUAAGAGGGUGAGAGCCGUGUCAUGCUUGGAUCCUUUUGCAUCACAAGGCACUGCUGGUGAGUCGGGUUGUUUGUGAAUAUAGCCCCAACCAAGUGGUAAAUUCCAUCCAAGGCUAAAUACUGGUGAGAGACUAAUAGCAAACAAGUACCAUGAGGGAAAGAUUAAAAGGACUCUGCAAAGAGAGUCAAAGAGUGCUUGAAAUUGUUAGGAGGGAAGUGGAUGGGGGUCGGCCAUGCCCCUCGGUCAGAUAUGGAACUGCUAGAAGUUGGUCCGCCAAUCGGCUUGAGGCAUGGACCGAUGUGGAUUGCGGCGGCGGGCUAAGCCCAUGCCUUCAAUAAGCAUGUAGAGUCAUCGAUGUCGCAAUUGUGGCAGGCAGUGCGCGCUGUCACGGUGUGCCUUGGUACUUGUGCACUCCAAGCAUUGGUCUAUGGGCUCCCCAUUCGACUUGUCUUGAAACACGGACCAAGGAGUCUGACAUGUGUGUGAGUCGACAGGUGAGUAAACCUGUAAGGCGCAAGGAAGCUGACUGGCGGGAUCCCCGCGGGGGCUGCACCGCCGACCGACCUCGAUCUUCUGAGAAGGGUUCGAGUGAGAGCAUGCCUGUCGGGACCCGAAAGAUGGUGAACUAUGCCUGAGCGGGGCGAAGCCAGAGGAAACUCUGGUGGAGGCCCGAAGCGUUACUGACGUGCAAAUCGUUCGUCUGACUUGGGUAUAGGGGCGAAAGACUAAUCGAACCAUCUAGUAGCUGGUUCCCUCC